rnacentral:rRNA from 1 species
GACGAACCGUGCGAACGUUAUUCGGAAUCACUGGGCUUAAAGGGCGCGUAGGCGGGUAGAUAAGUCGAGGGUGAAAGCCUCUAGCUUAACUAGAGAAGUGCCCUCGAAACUAUUUGUCUUGAGAGAGAUAGGGGCAUACGGAACUUCCGGUGGAGCGGUGAAAUGCGUUGAUAUCCUAAGGAACACCGGUGGCGAAAGCGGCUCACUGGAUCUUUUCUGACGCUGAGGCACGAAAGCUAGGGUAGCGAACGGGAUUAGAAACCCGGGUAGU